rnacentral:rRNA from 1 species
GCGCAUCUGUGCAUGCAGCAUAUCAAUAAGCGGAGGAAAAGAAACUAACAAGGAUUCCCCUAGUAACGGCGAGUGAAGCGGGAAGAGCUCAAAUUUGAAAUCUUAAAGGGUUUCCCUUUACGAAUUGUAGUUUAAAGAAGUGUUUUCUGUUGAGGUUUUGGUAAAAGUUCUUUGGAAUAGGACAUCAUAGAGGGUGAGAAUCCCGUAUUUGACCUUUACUUUCAACUUUGUGAUACACUUUCAAAGAGUCGGAUUGUUUGGGAAUGCAGUCCAAAAUGGGUGGUAAAUUUCAUCUAAAGCUAAAUAUUGGCGAGAGACCGAUAGCGAACAAGUACCGUGAGGGAAAGAUGAAAAGAACUUUGAAAAGAGAGUUAAACAGUACGUGAAAUUGUCAAAAGGGAAGCGUUUGACACCAGUGUUGUUUUUCUGAAAAUCAAUUAAAGAACUGUUUAUGCUAAGUUGUUUAGACUUUAUCAGCUAUCUGUUUAGUUUUGAGCUUUUCUUUAAUGCACUUUUCAGUUAACAAGUCAACAUCAAUUUCUUUUGCUGUAAAAAAGCUUGAGGAAGGUGGCUUGAGAUUUGUCUUAAGUGUUUAUAGCCUCUUGCCUAUGCAGUCGGAGAGAUUGAGGUCUGCAGCGUAGAUCCUUCGGGGCUAAAUGCAUUUGUGCUAAGUUAUAGCAUUUCAUAGACAACUUGUUGACUAUGAUUUGUCUUGUAGCUUACUCGCUUAUGUUAUUUUACCUACGCUUAGGAUGUUGACAGCAGUAUAGACUGU